rnacentral:rRNA from 1 species
GACGAACGCUGGCGGCGUGCUUAACACAUGCAAGUCGAACGGAAAGGCCCUGCUUUUGUUACAUGCUCGAGUGGCGAGCGGGUGAGUCACACGUGAGUAACCUGCCCUUGACUUUUGACUACCUUCAAGAAACUGGGACUAAUAACGGAUAUGCGCUCCUGCUGCGUGGUGGGGGUUGGAAAUUGCGGGUGGUGGGGGAUGGACUCGCGGCUUAUCAGCUUGUUGGUGGGGUUGUGGCAUACCAAGGCUUCGACGGGUAGCCGGCCUGAGAGGGUGACCGGCCACACUGGGACUGAGACACGGCCCAGACUCCUACGGGAGGCAGCAGUGGGGAAUAUUGCACAAUGGGCGGAAGCCUGAUGCAGCAACGCCGCGUGCGGGAUGACGGCCUUCGGGUUGUAAACCGCUUUCGCCUGUGACGAAGCGAGAGUGACGGUAACGGGUAAAGAAGCACCGGCUAACUACGUG